ACUGCUACAGUGAUUCUUAGAGAAGAAGAUAGAAAUCGCAAACAGCAGAAGGACAGCAGAAAGAUAGUGAGCGGAAGCCAUAUUUAGAUUUUCCACACUGAGAAGAAAACUUAAAAAUAACAUUGAAGAGCUAGUUAAAAGGGGUUUUCCCACCAAACCUACUUCUAAGGAAGGAAUAACAGCAAAGGGUCGAAAUUACGACAAGGAGUUUACUUACUUGUAUGAGUUUUCUCCGAGUGUUCCAUUGGACAAAUUCGCCAUUGGACACGGGAGGCAGAAGAGCAGAGGGCGCGAAUGAUAAUCUUGCCUGCGACAUGAACUGCUUCUACUCAAUAUUUCUUCAUUUCAUCGUAGCCCACAGAUAAGCGCGAGAUCUCACCACUUAAAAAAAAACCAUACUACCCAGGUAGAUGGACUUAUUAUUAUUUUGGGGUUAUUUUAUCAGAGCUCUGAGGUCAUUUUACUUUAUAUUUUUCUCAACAUGUGUUUAAAAGGUUGAAAACUGAGAGAAAUACUGAUUUUCACAACUAAAAGGACAGAAAAGAGAAACAAGGUCAUACUGUUUGAUAUUUGAUGUUUAAUAAAUGCCGGCUAUAUGUUCUGGGUAAACUA